rnacentral:rRNA from 1 species
UACGGGGGGAGCAAGCGUUGUUCGGAUUUACUGGGCGUAAAGGGCGCGUAGGCGGCGUGACUAGUCACUUGUGAAAUCUCCGGGCUUAACUCGGAAAGGUCAACUGAUACUGUGCGACUAGAGUGCAGAAGGGGCAACUGGAAUUCUCGGUGUAGCGGUGAAAUGCGUAGAUAUCGAGAGGAACACCUGCGGCGAAGGCGGGUUGCUGGGCUGACACUGACGCUGAUGCGCGAAAGCCAGGGGAGCGAACGGG